GGACUGGAAAUGGUGGUGGAAGUCAUUCUUUGCUUCUGGUUCAGUCGCGAUAUACAUUUUCCUGUACUCCAUCAACUAUCUAAUAUUCGACCUCAAGAGCUUAAGCGGCCCUGUUUCCGCCACCCUUUACCUCGGAUACUCCCUCUUCAUGGUCUUGGCUAUUAUGUUUGCAACAGGCACUGUCGGGUUCCUUUCGUCUUUCUGGUUUGUACAUUAUUUGUUCUCUUCAGUGAAGCUAGAUUGAGGAAGCCUCUUGGUCUUGAAGAGCUGCAAGUAAACAAAUCAACCAUUGAAGAAGCAGUGGGCGGAUUUCGAAAGAACAUUCUAUUUUACUUUUAAUGUCAUUUUGUAGGGUAUUUCGAAGAGAAAAAAACAAUAAAACUCCUAAAGUUUUGUUAAAUUCUUUAAUAGAAAAAGUCAUUGCAUCUACUGAAGUAAAGUUUCAUCAGUUGGUAGGAUGAACAUCACAUUGUUAUCAUUUCUCUAGUUUCCUAUUAAUAGUGUUGAAUCUGUUAUCUUUGAAAGGGCUUUAUCAUAAUAUUAGUGAUUCUUGUAACUAUGUCUAGUUCUGUUUUUUGUUUGGUUCACCCCGUUAUUGUUGUUGCAUUUUGUGAUAUUCUGCUUCAAUCUUGAGUUUUUC
rnacentral:misc_RNA from 1 species